UACGGGGGGGGGGCUAGCGUUGUUCGGAAUUACUGGGCGUAAAGAGCUCGUAGGCGGCUUGUCGCGUCGUCCGUGAAAACUUGGGGCUCAACCCCAAGCUUGCGGUCGAUACGGGCAGGCUAGAGUUCGGUAGGGGAGACUGGAAUUCCUGGUGUAGCGGUGAAAUGACGCAGAUAUCAGGAGGAACACCGGUGGCGAAGGCGGGGUCUCUGGGCCGAUACUGACGCUGAGGAGCGAAAAGCGUGGGGGAGCGAACAGG
rnacentral:rRNA from 1 species